rnacentral:rRNA from 1 species
GUCUAUGGCCAUGCCACCCUGAAUGUGCCCGAUCCCACCUGAUCUCAGAAGCUAAACAGGGUCGGGCCUGGUUAGUACUUGGAUGGGAGACCACCUCGGAAUACCAGGUGCUGUAGGCU